rnacentral:rRNA from 1 species
GUCAGCUUACCCUGUGAAGGACUUAUAGUAAGCAAGAUUGGCAUAGCCCAAAACGUCAGGUCGAGGUGUAGCGUAUGGAAAGGGAAGAAAUGGGCUACAUUCCCUAACAUAGUGAAUAUACGAACGAUGCACUGAAAUACGCAUCUGAAGGAGGAUUUAGCAGUAAGCAGAAAAUAGAGCGUUCUGCUGAAACCGGCCCUGAAGCGCGCACACACCGCCCGUCACUCUCCCCAAGCUUACUUACUCUAAGUACUUAAAACCUUAAAACUGCAAAGGGGAGGCAAGUCGUAACAUGGUAAGUGUACCGGAAGGUGCACUUGGAAAAAU